GGCUAUAGCUCAGUGGUAGAGCAUCUGCCUUGCAUGCAGGAAGUCCCAGAUACAAUUCCUGGAAUCUCCA